UUUUUAAUUAAGGUUAUUUGAUUCAAACGUAGGGUUAUCAUGUUAUUUUUAAUAAUGGCAUGUGUGGGUAAUAUAUAUGCAAAUUUAAUGGGUUACUUUUUAAGUUUUUAAAUAAUAGUGGUGGUCAAUUCGGUCGCAAUUUAGGGGGUUAUUUUAAAUAUUGUUUAUAAUGGCAUAAGUGGGUAAUUUUGAUGAAGAUUAGAGGGUUACUUUAGUUUAUUUUAUAUAAUGGUAGAGGUGGGUAAUUUAUAUAUAGAUUUAGGGGGUUACUUUAGACUAUUUUCAUAAUGGCAUAAGUAGGUAAUUUUUAGAAAAUAUAAUAGAUUCAAUGGCUAUGAUGAUUUGAAUCUAUCGAUUGAUGGUCGGAUGUUUUGCUUUUUUUGAGAAUUUCUUUAGAGUGUCCACCUAGGAAUCCUAGGUGGCUUCACCUGGAGGCUUCAAAAGGAGCCUCCAAUUAGUAAUAGUAAGAUUUAAUACUCCUAAUUAGUAUCCAAACAUCCGAUGUGAUAGGAGCUAAAGUCUAGCUCAUAGGAAACAAACACCCUCUAACUCUACAUCGCUGGAAAGACUGCCUUUUUU
rnacentral:lncRNA from 1 species